rnacentral:rRNA from 1 species
UACAGAGGUGGCAAGCGUUGUUCGGAAUUACUGGGCGUAAAGGGCGCGUAGGCGGCCAUCUAAGUCAGACGUGAAAUCCCCCGGCUUAACCUGGGAACUGCGUCUGAUACUGGAAGGCUUGAGUAUGGGAGAGGGAUGUAGAAUUCCAGGUGUAGCGGUGAAAUGCGUAGAUAUCUGGAGGAACACCGGUGGCGAAGGCGGCGUUCUGGACUGCAACUGACACUGAGGAACGAAAGCCAGGGGAGCAAACGGG